UGCAGAGCUCUACAAAACGACCUACUG
rnacentral:piRNA from 1 species